rnacentral:rRNA from 1 species
AUACGGAGGGGGUUAGCGUUGUGCGGAAUUACUGGGCGUAAAGCGCACGUAGGCGGACUGGAAAGUUGGGGGUGAAAUCCCGGGGCUCAACCCCGGAACUGCCUCCAAAACUUCCAAUCUAGAGAUCGAGAGAGGUGAGUGGAAUUCCAAGUGUAGAGGUGAAAUUCGUAGAUAUUUGGAGGAACACCAGUGGCGAAGGCGGCUCACUGGCUCGAUACUGACGCUGAGGUGCGAAAGCGUGGGGAGCAAACAGGAUUAGAAACCCCGGUAGUCC